CCUUUUACAUCAUCACGUCACAACAUUGGGACAACCCAUUAAUGUGUACCUGAAGCAAUCCUCCCCUUGCAUGCCCUCCUCGCAAUCCUCCCAACGUCCUCGCGCCACCGUCCUCUUCUCCUCGAUCUCCUCUACCAGGGCGCCCUCCUCGUGACCCAGGCGCUGGCCGACGUCGGCGACUCCGCUCUGCUCCUCCGCGGACUCACGCUCUGCCGCCGCCGAGGAGACGGCUUGAGGAAGAUCCCUUGGACCGAGUACCUGAUCUCGGAUCUGGUGCUCGUGGGGUGGCGGGAUUGAAAGUAUGGAUCUUGGGGACGGGCAGAUGACGUUCGUCGUGUUAGGAAGAUGAGUAUGUAACUCGUGGAGUCCGAGCUGUUGCGUGGCGACGCUCGAGUGCAGCGUUCAGAUGGAAGGGGCCGCGACCUUGAUGGGUUGGGGCUCGCCUCCCGCGCUCCUCUUCGUCAUGUACAACAACCAUGGCGGCCCUAUGUGUCGAACUGUCCCGACAACGACGCUGCAGCCUGCUGACUCUAUGUGUAGGACUGCCUGACUCAACCUCUAUCUCAAUGUUAACUCAAUGCCCAACAAUGUCGUCAAUUGUCAGCAAGCAGUUACUCCAAAUUCCAUUGCCCAAACGCCAUAUAUAUGUACCUUGAGUACAAGAGAUAAGAGACCAUGGAUGCAAAAGUCAUAAAAUUAGGAACCUGAAGGGAAAAUGGAAGGCACCUUUGAUCGACAUUCAGCCUAGAAAACAAAAACAAAACAGUGGAGCUGAAGCAGAUGGUUUGUUGAUUUAUGAUGGUGCAGAUCUUGGAAACAAUUCAACUGGGCACCACGGCGCUGAAUUGAAGUACAACUUCUUGCCGGAAAGUUCUUAUAUAUGAUCUCUAGAAUCUCGACAACAAAAAUGGACCAUCUUGCGUCUUACUCAAGUCAGUUACAACAAUCAGAAGUUGUGAUGGAUAUGAGUCUUGUUUACGCUUUAGAGUAAAUGCACGAAGAACUGAUGAAUGAGAAGAUAUUUUCAGAGAACCAUCGAUGCUACGUGCAAUGCUGGUUUGAUAAUUUUUCGCAUGUCUCGUGCAUGACAGCAGCGCAUUCAUUGGCCUCCACUUGUGCGCCAAUCUAUGAUGCCUGCGCCCGCGGUGUCAGGUCACGCUCUGCUGCAAUUGUGCAUGCCGCCUCUACGCGACCCCAUCAAGGAAUACAGCCCAGCUGAGAUUUUUCAUAUCAUCUCUGCCAUGUCGUCAUUGUUGCAAGAGAUUCUG